UAUAUUUUAGUAUAAGAUGUACAUUAAAUUUUGAUUUUAAAAGUAAUAGUUUAAUUCUAUUAAAUAUAA
rnacentral:tRNA from 1 species